UACGUAGGGGGCAAGCGUUAUCCGGAUUUACUGGGUGUAAAGGGAGCGUAGGCGGCGAUGCAAGUCAGAAGUGAAAGCCCGGGGCUCAACUCCGGGACUGCUUUUGAAACUGUGUUGCUAGAUUGCAGGAGAGGUAAGUGGAAUUCCUAGUGUAGCGGUGAAAUGCGUAGAUAUUAGGAGGAACACCAGUGGCGAAGGCGGCUUACUGGACUGUAACUGACGUUGAGGCUCGAAAGCGUGGGGAGCAAACAGG
rnacentral:rRNA from 1 species